GAGGGCUGGCUGGGCCUUCCCACCAACCCCCACUGGGCAGCUGACCUUGGAGGCCCUGAUCCUGUGAGGCCCACCCUUGAGCAGGGUCUCAGCUCCUGCCAUCUCCUGGGACAUUGCUGUUGUAGAGCUGGGGCCACAGAGUCCUCAGGCCACAGUCUCAUCAGGAACAAGGUCAGGGUCUGGGCUUAUUCAGAACAAGGAUUCCAGGCAAUGUACUACAGGACCCUGCAGCACCUCUUUGCUUCUAGCUUCUCCAGAAUGUUUGAGGAGAAUAUGAAACAUAUUUCCACGUGGCGAGAUUCCUGCCGGAUAGGAGGUCCCUAGGCUCAGCCUGGUAGAACCCUGUUCUUCCCCUACUGGGAAAAAAAGGUUCGUUCAUUGACUCCUUCACUGUUCAACAACAGCUCACUGAGAACCUACUCAGGGACACACCUCAGGCAGGAACCUGGGAUGCUAGGAUGGGCCAGGAACAGUCCUGCCCUCAAGGAGAUCACAGUCUGGGUCCACCGUGACCCCCACCCUCUCUAUCCCACAGACCCCUCCUAUAUCUGCCCGUGGACCCAGCAGUCUGGACUUUUGCCCCAACAGAUCUGUGGUCUAAUGAUGGGAGGAAAGGCUUACAAUCGAGAAAAACCUACCCAGAGCCUAGCCUUUCCCCUGCCCAUUGGGCGUGUCUGUUCCUGUCCCUGUCUGACACCUGGCUGUGAAGGACAUCGAAGUCAUUGGGUGACACUGGUCAGUUACCCCAGACGAAAGCGGAGGUGAGGUGCCUGAGAGCCAGUCUCGCUCCCUCUGCAGCCCACGUCGGGUCUUCAAAUGAAACUGUGGUCUGUGAGGUUCCCUGCCAGCCCCCUCUCACCGUAGGACACUGCUAGUAUCCAUUAAAAGGAGGUAUAGGCUCCGAAGUUCUGGGGUUUGUCCCAUCCUCUUUUCUUCCCCUCUGGAGUGAGAGGUGCUAUCUGGAGGUAGGCAGCCAUGCUGGGCCUGGAGGAGACCAGCAGGGGUCCAGAAGGGGCCCAGCAGGAGGAGACAAGUGCUAAGGGCUGAGCUGGGGGAGCAGGAAAAGCGGCUGAGUCCUGACAGCAUCGCUGAACAGCUGAGCCGGGCUCAAACCAUCCUACCUCCCCACAUGCCUCCUGUGAAACAAGGCUGCAUUUCGACCCUUCCCGGCAGAUUUCUGGCCCUGCCAGCCCUCCUCCAUCCCAGCCUCCUGUCCUUAGGUUCCUCCCUGCCCCUUGUCCUGCCACCGUUGGCCCUCGGCCCUGGUUUGUUCCUCUCCCGUCCCUCUCCCCUUCCCCUUCAUCACCUUGUUCUGUCAGUCUUUCCCUCUAGGGCACCAGCCCUCCCAGACUAAGUUCCUUCCACCCUCCUUGGCCAUCGUCAUCGUCUGUCCCUUAUUCUCUAUCCCUCCAGGUCCCAAACUAAAUGAUUCUGCUCCCAGCCCCUUACAACCAUUGUGUAAGGUUGUGACAGAGUUUGGGCCCCUGACGUGAGCAGAAGUCUAUGAGGAGAGACCUGGGGAGACUUCAUUUUCUGGACGCCUUGUUCAGGACAACCAGCUUCCAGGAACUGACUGGGCUCAGUUCAGUUUCCACAGAAUCCAUGGCAGGAGAGAAACCUAGUGCCUGGUAUGGGUCCUGCUUGCGCCCACAUCCACAGGGGCCAGUUCAUCACCUGUGCAGGAGAGCCCCUCCCUCCAGCUUCCUCUCCAGGGCAGUAGAACUAGAACUGGCGUAGGGACUGGAGUAAUUCCUGGCUGUUAACCUAACUGCAAAUUUGAAGGUUCCCUUCCAAUAUUUAGACUCAUUCUUUCUUUUACUGCAUGGCCUGUCAUUUCAGAAACAGUGCUGCUAGCAGUAUGAUAGGUUGUCAAUGACUGUAGAUUUUUAACCUAGAUUCCCCUCCUAUAAGGUUUAGCUGAUUUUUACUCACACCAGCAGCAAUUAGUGUGACCACGGGACCCAUGAAUCAGAUCCACUACAAAAGAGAAAGGUGUGUCUGCACGUUUGCAAGUUUUAAUAAACCGUUUGGACUUAGUGAUACAUUUAUUGAGAAAAAAAAAGUUGGUGCAAG
rnacentral:lncRNA from 1 species